UAGGGAAUCUUCCACAAUGGACGCAAGUCUGAUGGAGCAACGCCGCGUGAGUGAAGAAGGUUUUCGGACCGUAAAGCUCUGUUGUUGGUGAAGAAGGAUAGAGGUAGUAACUGGCCUUUAUUUGACGGUAAUCAACCAGAAAGUCACGGCUAACUACGUGCCAGCAGCCGCGGUAAUCGUAGGUGGCAAGCGUUGUCCGGAUUUAUUGGGCGUAAAGCGAGCGCAGGCGGAAGAAUAAGUCUGAUGUGAAAGCCCUCGGCUUAACCGAGGAAUUGCAUCGGAAACUGUUUUCUUGAGUGCAGAAGAGGAGAGUAGAACUCCAUGUGUAGCGGUGGAAUGCGUAGAUAUAUGGAAGAAUACCAGUGGCGAAGGCGGCUCUCUGGUCUGCAACUGACGCUGAGGCUCGAAAGCAUGGUAGCGAACAGGAUUAGAUACCCUGGUAGUCCAUGCCGUAAACGAUGAGUGCUAAGUGUUGGGAGGCUUCCGCCUCUCAGUGCUGCAGCUAACGCAUUAAGCACUCCGCCUGGGGGAGUACGACC
rnacentral:rRNA from 1 species